rfam:Acidithiobacillus thiooxidans strain A02 contig079, whole genome shotgun sequence.
GGGGGCGACCGGCUUCGACGCAGGUCGCGAAGCCUUCGGUGCAUGCAGAGCUGCGGUUUGCUCUUAAAACUGGUCGCAGACUCAUAAUUGCCAACGACAGCAAUUACGCCCUCGCUGCUUAAGCAGUGAGCCCUCUGCCCGGAUUUGUUCGUGGAUCCGGAGUCGAAAGACGCGCGGAGGGUCAUAAAACACGGAAUCGGGUCUGUUCUAGUCUGUGGAACCGAUCCUAAACUAAAGCAGAAUCGCCGUAGCAUCAUCCUGUUUGUCGGAGGGUGGCGCGGUUAAAGCCAAUAGACAAACUACGCAUGUAGAUCCGGUGGUCUAGGUACUGCGGACGCGGGUUCAAUUCCCGCCGCCUCCACCA